UACGAAGGGGGCUAGCGUUGCUCGGAAUUACUGGGCGUAAAGCGCACGUAGGCGGAUUCUUAAGUCGGGGGUGAAAUCCCGGAGCUCAACUCCGGAACUGCCUUCGAUACUGAGAAUCUCGAGUCCGGGAGAGGUGAGUGGAACUCCGAGUGUAGAGGUGAAAUUCGUAGAUAUUCGGAAGAACACCAGUGGCGAAGGCGGCUCACUGGCCCGGUACUGACGCUGAGGUGCGAAAGCGUGGGGAGCAAACAGGAUUAGAAACCCCCGUAGUCC
rnacentral:rRNA from 1 species